CUUAAUUGACUGAAAGUUAGGUUAAGACAGCGCUUCGAGCAUAACCAAUGAGUGAUGUUACUCAGGCUUCGUCCAUUACAGUCUACGGUUUGGAAAAGUGCUUUCUAUUUAACAAAUGACAUUUCUUCACAGUGCUACUGAUGGUGUCAUGGCAGAGAAGAAGUGAAAGAGGAUGCAAAAAAUGUAGGUUUAGAGAAGUCAUGAAAACGCUGAAGUGUU